rnacentral:lncRNA from 1 species
UAAUAUUGUAUACUGCUUUUCACUUGGAGGCUAUGCAACAGAGCAAGACCCUGAAAAAAAUAAGAAAACAGAAAAGACAAGAAAAGAAAGAAAGAAAGAAGGAAGAGAGAGAAACUAUCAUGGUUUUCCAGUUGGGCUAAAUGAGUCAGUACAUGUACUUAUCAAAUGGAAAUGUUGAGUUGAGUUUCUCAAAAAAUCAAAAGGCACAUCCCCUCCUGAGG